UGAAGCCAUUGUGGCUAUCAUCAGAGUUUUGUUCUAAUGUUUGUGUUUCUUCAAGUUUUUUAUAUGGAGUUAAUUCAAUGUGUGUUUGAGUUGAGCAACUUGAGUGAGGAUUCAAUAGAAACAUUGUAAUGACUAACCUCAUCUCCCUCUUCUCUGUCUUUUGCUAUUUUAUCUGGUGAAUUUGCAUCUUGUGCUCGUAUGGGCAAAGGUCUUGGAAGAGAUUUCAGAGUAUCUAGAUACCGUGGCUGCUAAAUUGAAGGGAGUUGUUGGAGUAGGUUGGAUAGAAAAAUGCGAGAAGGAUUUACAAGACGAGGAUGCAGGUUGGCUCUUCUCGAUGAUGAUGAAGAAAAUGCUCAUGAGGAAGAAAUUCAUGUCGAAGAUGAAGAAGUGGAGGAAAUGGUACAGUGAAGGACCAUCCUACAUAUGAUCAAGAAGGCCGUAUAUUCAUUCAUCUCAGGAAUGAUGGAUUAUUGUACCCUUCCAGAGCUGUGGCGAACAUAUCGAAAGAUGUUUUCCAAAAUAUAGUGCACCCAACUGCAUUCUCACAAGCAACUCUUGAUGAUUCAUGCAUUGAAUCCUAUUGGCAAGAAUUUAAGGAGCAAGUUAAGGCAAGAGCCGAUGAGUUGCGGGCUGCAGGGGAAGUAGAUCCAGAUUUUGAUCGCAUUUCCUUGACCUUUUUGUGAAGAAUAUGAAGAGAAAGCAAACCCGGAGCUGGACAGGCCACAGGCAUUUAUUUCCCUGAUGCUAGCAGUUCGUCCACUGGGGGCUCAGGCGUUAGCACGGAAGAGUUACAAGCAAUGCGAGAGCAAAUCACUAUUAAGAUGCGCGCGGAGCAGGUGCAGCGAUAUGCGGAGCUGGAGAUGCAAAAUGCAGCGUUGAAAGCGGAGUUGGAUAGUCAAAGUGCAGAGCGCGAUGCUGCUUUAGCGCGUAAAAAAAUUGAGUUACGCGCCGAAUUUGAGAAAGAAAAUGAGAGGAUGUUAGAACUAUUGUUGGAUCUUACUAAAAAGGUUAACCGAAUUAGUAAAAACUGAAAGUGUAAAACAAUCUUAUUAAUUUUAUGCAAGU